GGAAGGGCUGGUAGCUUGGUAGGAGAACAUCUGCCUUGCAUGCAGAAGGUCCCUGGUUCAAUCCCCAGCAUUUCCA